UAAGAAAUCUACAUUAAGAGCAUACGGUGGAUGCCUAGACUCGUAAGAGGCGAUGAAGGACGUAGCAAAGCUGCGAUAAGCUUCGGGGAGGUGCCAAGCAACCUUUGAUCCGGAGAUCUCCGAAUGAGGAAACUCAUCCCGUGAAGAACGGGAUAUCUUUAUCCGCAAGGGUAGAGAAGCGAACCCAGGGAAGUGAAACAUCUCAGUACCUGGAGGAAAAUAAACUAAAUAGUAUUCCCCUAGUAGCGGCGAGCGAAAAGGGAGAAGCCCAGAGCGCAUCCCGACGUAAGUCGGGACGCGCAGUCGUAAGGCUCACUUACUUUAAUGUAACAAAGUUAACAAUCACGUCUGUAGCCGAGUGCGUUGGAAAGCGCAAUCACAGAGGGUAACAAUCCCGUAGGCGAAACAGGCGAGACUUUGGUGAGUACCUUGAGUACCUCGGGACAUGACUGGCCUGAGGGAAUCCGCCGGAACUAACCGGCAAGGCUAAAUACUCUACGAGAUCGAUAGUGUACUAGUACCGUGAGGGAAAGGUGAAAAGUAGUCCGGUGAGGACGCUGAAAUAAUACCUGAAACUGUAUGCUUACAAGGAGUCGGAGCCCGCAAGGGUGACGGCGUGCCUAUUGAAGAAUGAGCCAACGAGUUUAUCCAGUCUCUAGUCUAAGGAGCGAACCUCCGCAGGCAUAGCGAAAGCGAGUGUGAAUAGCGCGAAAAAUUAUAGAGAUUGGAUAAGACCCGAAGCCAGGCGAGCUUGCCAUGUCCAGGGUGAACUAAGACGAAAGUCUUAGGGAGGCCCGAACCGGUUAGUUGUGCAAAACUUUCGGAUGAGGUGUGGUAAGAAGUGAAAAGCUAAUCGAGCCUGGUAAUAGCUGGUUCUCUCCGAAAUCGCUUUUGGGCGAGCGUCAUAUGUUUCCGCAGGGGGUAGAGCACUGGAAGGUCUCGACAGGGAGAAAUCUCGCGAGACCUAUCAAACUCCGAAUACCGGCGGUUAAGUAUGGCAGUUAGACUCCGGGGGCUAAGCUCCGGUGGUCAAAAGGGAAACAGCCCAGAUCCCAAUUUAAGGUCCCUAAAUAUAAGCUCAGUGCAAGGCGAGGAGGUGAUCUCUCACAUACAAUGAGGAUGUUGGCUUAGAAGCAGCCAUCAUUUAAAGAUAGCGUAACAGCUCACUCAUCGAGAGACAUCGCGCCGCAGAUAAUCGGGGCUCAAGCUUAUUACCGAAGAUGGGAACUCAUCCCCGCUUUAGCGGGGUUGAUUGGUAGGAGAGUGUUCGCAUCCGCGAUGAAGUGGCAGCUGUGAGGCGCCGUGGAGCGUUGCGAAGUAAAAAUGUUGGCACAAGUAACCACAAGGCCGGUGAAAUCCCGGCCCGUCGAAAGAUCAAGGUUUCCUUCGCGACGACAAUCGGCGAAGGGUUAGUCGGGCCUAAGGCGAUGGCGAAAGCCGCAGCUAAUGGACACACGGUUAAUAUUCCGUGACUCUUGUAUUGUUGAUGGGGUGACGAAGGGUUGUAUGCAGAGCGUAUUAUUGGAUUUACGUUCAGUGUAUGAGAGUGUCUGCUAUGUAAAUCAGGCAGAGGCCGCAAGGCACACUCAAGUAUGAUGGGGAAGUCCCGCCACGGCGGGACGAACUCUGCAAAGCACGCUUUCAAGAAAAACCUCUAGAUCCGCUGAAAGGCGGAAUCAAUAUAGGAACCGUACCGCAAACCAACUCCGGUGAUCAGGGCGAGUAGCCCAAGACGAACGAGUGAGAGGUCCUCAAGGAACUCGGCAAAAAAGCGGCUGUAACUUCGGGAUAAAGCCUCCCCAUUGGCGCAAGCUUAUGGGGCGCAGUGAAAGUCUCUCUGGCAACUGUUUACUAAAAACACAGCUCCCUGCAAACUCGCAAGAGGAAGUAUAGGGGGUGACACCUGACCGAUGCCGUAAGGUUAAAUAUGGCUGGUGCACGGAUCUUUAUUGAUGUGUGUGCUGGCUAUAUAAGCCCCGGUGAAUGUCGGCGAUAACUAUGGAGAUCGUAGUUACAAAAUCUGGCCAUAUGCUGGAAUCCCCGCGAAUGUUCGAGUACUUAGGGUUCAGACUCCUAAGUGAAAAUCUUGAACCGAUGCGGACAAUCAGCAGGAAAGAUCCGCCGUUGGCGGAAAUCCUCAGAGACUAUACGCCAGAAUUCUUCCAAGAAAGAAGCACGGGGAAGAAUAUGAUAUAGUCCGGCCUCAUGGGCGACCAUGAGAAUUGCUAGUUCUACUUAAUCUAGCAGAAUAACAUUGACAAAUCGUCCUAAGGUUUCGGCCCUCUCCGCAAGGAGGGAGUCGAAAGGACUAGGACGAUCUGAAGAUGAAAAAGUACUCAAAACAGAGAGAAUUGCCAAAGUUCAAAGAAAUGACAAGAAAUAUAAAACGCUGCCUCCCCGUACCAUACGGUACAGGGGUCCUAAAAAAUACUUGGUAAAAUGCUGGGAUAACCGGUGUAUGGAAAGCUACUUGGGGUGUGCUAUAAUAAGCCCGUUACAAGUAAAAAUGCUUUCCUGCGGUCAACCAGCAGGGAAAUUAGAAAAACAUGGAAACAGAACCAAACAAAGAGUCCGUACAAGAGUUAAUAAGUAGGAUGGAAUACGCCCUAGGGAUUGCUAGUAGCGAGAUAAUGGUAUUAGUAGAAAAUAAAAAUGCUAGAUCGGGAGAGAUUGAGAAUGUUAGAUCGCACUUAGAAGCUGCAACCAGAGACUUAUUAAAACUCAAAGAGAAACUCUAAUUCCCUCAGAGACUAAACGCCAAGCUCCGACGCAAUAGGUUGGAGAAGAUAUAGUCCGUACUGCAUGGCGACAUGCAGAGUAACAAAAUAGAGCGUAAUUCCUUGUCAGGUAAGUUCUGACGUGCACGAAUGGUGUAAUGACUGGAGAACUGUCUCGAGGACUUGCUCGGUGAAAAUACAAUACCGGUGAAGAUGCCGGUUACCCGCAGAUAGACGAAAAGACCCCAGGAGCUUUACUAUAGCUUGGUACUGAACAUACGUUGUGUAUGCGUAGCAUAGUGGUGAGAGGUUGAAGUGAGGAUCUCGGUUCUCAUGGACUCGACAGUGAAAUAGCCAUCUUACUUGAUGUAUGUUCUAACCUGCGUGGCAAAAACGCGCGGGGACAGUGCUUGGUAGGUAGUUUUAGUGGGGCGCUAUCCUCCUAAAGAGUAACGGAGGAGUUUAAAGGUGGGCUAGGCGCGAAUGGAAACCGUGCCGAUAGCGUAUAGGCAUAAGCCCGCUUGACUGCAAGACGUGAAUGUCGAACAGGCGCGAAAGCGGAACUAAGUGAACCGAUGGUCCGCGUUAGAGGCGGCCAGAGAUCAUCUGACAAAAGCUACCCUGGGGAUAACAGGCUGGUACUGCCCAAGCGUCCAUAGCGACGGCAGUGUUCGGCACCUCGAUGUCGGCUCAACUUAUCCUGGUGGUGAAGAAGCUACCAAGGGUUUGGCUGUUCGCCAAUUAAAAAGUUACGUGAGCUGGGUUUAGACCGUCGUGAGACAGGUUGGUCUCCUAUCUACUGCGGGCGCGGAUUCUUGAAGGGAGUCUCCAUUAGUACGAGAGGACCGUGGAGAACUGACCUCUGGUGUGCCAGUUGUCCUGCCAAGGGCAUCGCUGGGUAACUAUGUCGGGAAAGGAUAACCUCUGAAAGCAUCUAAGAGGGAAGCCUCCCCUAAGAUUAGGAAUCGUUAUAGACACGUGAGAGAUUAUCACGUUGAUAGGCGCUAAGUGGAAGUACCGCAAGGUAUUGAGCUGAGGCGUACUAAUAUGUCGAUAGAUUUCUUAUU
rfam:Candidatus Yanofskybacteria bacterium RIFCSPLOWO2_02_FTLL_47_9b rifcsplowo2_02_scaffold_5712, whole genome shotgun sequence.